UUGGGGCGUGGUCCCAGCUUUCAGGCAGCUCGCUGUCUGCCUAAAAAACCCUCUGACUCACAAAGCAGCAUCUCUCCUCUGGGGGAGCUUCUUGGGCUUCCAGGAAAGGCUGCCCUUGGCCUGUGGCUCCGAACCUGACUUCUUUGCCCACUGAAAGGGCUCAGUCUAAAUUUGCCCCUUCAAACAAAGCUUCUUCAUGUUCAUCCUCAUGUCCAUAGCUGAGUGGGACCAGACCAUAGCAUCCAGAGAGGCAGUAUUCCUUUUCCAACCCAAACAUGGCAAUCGGAUUGCCUUUUAGCAAUAUUCGCCAGGGUUUCUUCACAGGGGAAAUAGGAUUCCACCCUCAUUUUCCAUGGCGGCUUGCUGCUCCGUUUGUGGUGGUCGCACGCCUGGAAUCAGCAGCAGCAAGAUGGGCCGUCUCUAAUUCACAGAGAUUUGCAUGCAGGCUGCGUGCCUUCCUUAUCUAGGGAGACGCAUUGUCAGGGCCGCUGGAAGGCAUCCUUCAGUCACCCCCACGGUAGCACCAGUGCACAGGUGGCAUCUUCUGCCAUUACUGAGGGCGUCAAUUUAGUGUCAACAGGGAGACGAGACUCGCUUUCCUAAAGGCAAGGCUUCUUGAUUAGAUUUCCUUACCCAACAGUAGAGGUAAAAGCAGACCCACAUUUUUCAAUCUGUCUUGCUCUUUGGCACACAUGGAAAGUGGCUGGUAGCACAGCGGUGGGCCUUCGUUAUCUGUGCUGGGGAAAAUGGCAGGCGUUUCUCAGUCACCUUCUUGGUUAGGUAACACGUGCCCUUGGUGUAAACCUCAGAGGGUGCGUAAGGGCACACAGUGCACGCAUCUCCCUGCCAGGUGUGUCUCCUGGCCGCCCAGCACCCCUCCUCAGAAGCCACCACGGCUCAUGAGCGGAAGUACCCUUUCCCUUUCAGAGAGACUCCUAUGUGUUUUCAAGUGAAUA
rnacentral:lncRNA from 1 species